rnacentral:lncRNA from 1 species
AGGAAAAUGGUAGGUAUAUCGAUUGCUCAAUUUGAACGAUAUUCAAGGGAUCACACGACUCAUUUAGCCAAUGUUCGGGAAAACUUUUCAUCCAGCAGGACAGCGAGGAUUCUUGGCCCUCCUAUAACAGAAAACGCAUAUCUGUGCUCUUGAGUUUCCUUAUGAGGACUUUUACUGGCUUACGCAUCGGAAAAAGGUUGUAGUUGCAAGAUCAAAGAAGAUUAUGCACGCUUGGCAGAGAUUUCACAGGUGGAAAUAAGACCAUCCGCGGCAAAGCUCAUGUCACCGAAAGGGAUUAGUUUUUCAUACAGUAUCACAGCGUUACUAUUCUCGGUCUAUGUACUGUUUUUUCUUUUGUUUUUGUUUAGCAUUAACCGACGCAAAAGUUCUUAUUAGGCGCCGUGAAGCAAGUGGGCAUUGGCUAGUAUACGUAUAAAAUUGUGAAGGAAUUCUAUAAUGGCUCUGGGUAACCGUUACCAUUGCCUUGCCUGUUGAAGAUGUGGCCGAAGCAUAGCUGAAUGUAGCUGAAAAACUUAGUGCGAAAAUGCCAUUGGCCUAAAACACGCAUGAAUAAUUGUGCAAGCAUGGUUUGUUGGCGAGGGGAAUGAAGACAAUACAUUGUUCGAUUUCAUUUGUCGAAGCUUCGUUGGAUGUAAAUUUUUUAGUUGCGCAUAGCACCAUGCUGGAUGGAAAAAUUGGAGAAGUUCGAUAAUGCCAUUGAGUGUUACUGGGAAGCCUGCACUGUGGGUUA